rnacentral:tRNA from 1 species
CGGCGAGUAGCGCAACUGGUUUGGGCCCAGUGGGUCGGAGGUUCAAAUCCUCUCUCGCCGACCA